CCAAUUUGCUCUUCGAGUCAAUUUCUACUUUUCUCAAUAAUGUGCCUUAUUGAUGACUUUGUUCUCAGAUAUUACUGGAAGAGAAAUUAAGUAUAGAGUGACCACUCAGUAUGCCUUGAAGUAGCUGACUGAUUGAUGCAUGCACUUUGUUGGAUCUUAAAAUCAUGAGUUAAGUGCGUACAUGUUUUACUAGUUCAACAAUUUAAGAGAAUAUAGUUGUACUUCAUCGUGUUCUCCUCCCCAGGUAGUCAUUUUUAGAGUGAACAUAAAAUAUAGAAAAUGCUAGAAAUUUGAAUGGCUAUGGUGACUCUUCAGUACUGAAGAACAUUUGAGGCUUAGAAAGGGCAUCAACUUGGCAAAAAUGUGAACUCCUACUCACGAUGGAAAAAAUAUGUCAAGUUUUCUAGCUUCUGGAAGGCUUUCAAUUCGCUGGCCACAACCUAAAUUUGAGGCUGUUUGUUGUUGGUGAAGCUUAAUUUUUCACAACUACCUAUUGUUGCUUCCAAUUACUGACCAUCAGGUGGAGAUUAACUGGUUUGAGUGUCACUGUAGGUCUAUAUUGGAGCCUAUGUUUAUGAUGGAGUUUCUCAGAGACUCCCCUACAUUUACACUUGCAUCCUGUGUGUUAAGGUCUCCACCUUCUAGAUUAACAAGUUGAUCACCUUCUCUGUAUUCCCAACGCCUUUUUCUUGGUCAUUCUUUCAGUUUUUUCUCCUUUGUCACCUUUUGCUUCAUCACCUUCUUCAUCAUCUUCUACUUCUUUGUCAUUCCCUUCAUUUUCAUCCUUUUCUUUGUCACUGUCUUCUUUGUUAUCUUCUUUUCUAUCAUCUCAUUCUUUGUCUUCUCCAUCCUCUUCUCUUUUACUUACUUCAUCUUUCUCGCUUUCUUCUUCGUCAUCAAAUUCAGUAACUCUAUAACAGGGUCUGUCAUUCCUAUAUUUGCAAUUAUGUCAGAACGAGUGUCUUCCUCAUCUUCAUCUUCAUCUCUCAAUAGGACGGUAGGUUUCUUUCUUUUUGGAGUCCAAGAAACAAUACUCUUUCAUUUUCUCUUUUUCUUCGCAACUGUACUAUAUUUGACAGAACCGGUUGAUCUUUUCUUUAUGUUUUUCCAAACGUCUGAGAUGUCCUUUAACCUCAUUUUGGAGAUUAUCUUGAAUCCGAUCUGCAUUAAUGGAAGAGUCCUAGAGCAGAGGCUGGAAGGAAGUUGAAUAUGAAAGUGCUUGAACAUGUUGAGACUAACAAUACAGCUUAGAGGAAGGGUGAGUAUGUUAUUUUCAAACUUUGAUGAUCUUUUGCGAAAAUUAGCUGAUUGCUAAGUAAAUAUCACCUUAACCUGAUGUUUAUGUAAAUACUCACUAAUUGUAUGCCAAUGUAUUUAAG
rnacentral:lncRNA from 1 species